UCACCUGAGCCACCUCCCUGUGUUCCCUCCUCUCCUCGGAGUGAAAUAACAGCUCAGCGGAUGCCAUGGUGUGAAACUCGGGCCCAGGAGCCGCCGGCCCCUCGUGGGGACAGGCUGUGUGGCCCAGGCUCCUCCAGGUCCGGCCGGCGUGGUUAUUUAUAAGCCCUGGCUGCCUCCAAUGUGCCUGGAUCAGACUGGCUUGUUUGGGUCACCGGUGCCAAGCUUUUUCUUUCUUUUUCUCCAAUAAGAAUCUGCAUCUGAGCAUGGACAGAAUCCCAGAAUCAAAUCACUGGAUCAAUACUUGCUCACCAGACACACUCAAGCCCUCAAAAGCUCAAAGGAGUGGAGUCAGCUGUCACAAGGAGCCGGUGACCCUUAAGGCCAGGACCUGCCGGAACCUCCUGUGUUGCUGCUCGCUCUCCAGCCCUCUGGGAGAGGUGAUGUGGGCCUCAUGGGGCCAGCGCAGAGCACGCAGAGCACGCUCUCUGGCACACCGUUUAUGACACGGUUGUCAUGGGCUCCAGGCCAGGAAAAACACAUACCUGCUUCUACAAAAGCGAGUCCUUCUCAUGAGUGCACUCCCUCUCCCUGGUGGAGUAGCAGCGGGAACAUCCUUUACCCUGAGCUGCAUUUUAUUGUUUUGUUUUUCCUUCAGGGACAAACCGUUCACUCAAGGGCAGGCACCAAACCUUGUUGUCUGGGGAGGGGAGGCCACCUCCCAUGGCUCCCCUGCGGAGACUCACACGGUCCUUGGAGCUCUCCCUUGAAGGCUGUGAACAAAGAUGGAGCGGUCCAGCCCGGGAGUUCAUAGUUCCCCUUGGAGCCUCUUGGCUCGGCAGGCCUCUGACCUCAAGGUUGCUUGGCUGAGCAGGGUGCUCCCAGAGUGCUCCCUCUGUGCUCCUUCGUGUCAAGAUAUGCCUGUGUCGCUCCCUGAGUGGCCCGGCAGCUGGCUCAGGCUUGGCACCCUUGCUCAGCUGGAGAGCCCCUCCAUCAGCAGAGGCAGCCUUGUCAGUGGCUAACAGCAGGGGCCUGGAGCCAGAGUGCUGGGAUACAAAUGUCACUCUGCCACUUAGCAAUGGGGUGACCCCGGGCAGGCUGCUUAACCUCUCUGUGCCCUUGCAUCUAUAAAAUGUGGUAAUAAUA